rnacentral:tRNA from 1 species
AAUAGAUUGCCUGAGGAUCUAAGGAUUAUUUUGAUAGAAUAAACUACACAAGAAAAUGUAUCUAUUA